ACCAAAUAGCCAUUAAAGCUGCAAAGCAAAAGCUCUUGGAUUUGUCAAUACUCCUUUCUUCUUUUUUUUUUUUGAAAAUAUUUGUCUAUACUCUAUUGCUUUAUUUUACCACUAUCAACUCAUUUCAAUCUUUGCAAACCCAUAUGGUCAGAUCUCGACCAAAUAGCCAUUCUACUUUCGUCCUCAUGUGCCGAGCCAAUCUCGAGCUGAGCUGACCUUCCUUGAGUCCAUGGCCUAGCUUUUAAGUUUCAUGUGCCUACAAUCUAAGGUCAGAUCCAAUUUAUCACCAAGAGACAUACAUGACCCAUAUAGCCAUAUAGGCUGUUUAUUGCAGGUUGUCUGGCCUACUUUCUUUUGUCUUCGGAUCGGACUUGGGAGGUUUCUACAUGUGGGUGGAGUGCUGGCUGGUGCCCUACAAUCUGGUGGCUGUCAGGUAGUGUUUUAACAUCGGCGGGUUCAGGUUUCCUCUUGGUGUGCCGGCAGUGUGACCGGUGUAACCGGCGGAGAGCUUGUCAGUGCACCCGGUUUGACGGUGGUCAUUUGAAGGCAUUAUAUUCUUUGAGUGGUUUGAGGUGGCCUUUGACGGGAUAGAGCUCGUCGUUGACCGGCGAAAGGAGGACUCUUAUACACACCAUAACAAAUACACUAUACCUAUACCAAUGCAACAAGACAACCCAGAAACAUACGGUUUGUUUCGAUCUGGCAUGGGUUCCUUCAAGCUGACUAUUCAAUGUAUACUUAUAAACGUGUACACUAUUUAACCGUUUUACUUUAUGUUGAUGACAUUGUCAUUACAAGAAAUGACGAUGCUUAGCCUUUUGAAGCAAUACUUUUUUAUAAAAAUUCAGUCUGAAAGACUUAAACCUA